rnacentral:rRNA from 1 species
AUUGAACGCUGGCGGCAUGCCUUACACAUGCAAGUCGAACGGUAACAGGUCUUCGGAUGCUGACGAGUGGCGAACGGGUGCGUAAUACAUCGGAACGUGCACGAUCGUGGGGGAUAACGGAGUGAACGCUUUGCUAAUACCGCAUACGAUCUACGGAAGAAAGAAGGGGACCGCAAGGCCUUGAUCGGACGGAGCGGCGGAUGCCAGAUUAGGUAGUUGGUGGGAUAAAAGCUUACCAAGCCGACGAUCUGUAGCUGGUCUGCGAGGACGAACAGUCACACGGGGACUGAGGCACGGCCAAGACUCCUGCGGGAGGCAGCAUUGGGGAAUUUUGGGCAAUGGGCGCAAGCCUGAUCCAGCCAUGCCGCGUGGAGGAUGAAGUCCUUCGGUUUGUGAACUGCCUUUGUACGGAACGAAAAGACUCCGUCUAAUAAAGGGGGUCAGUGACGUUACCGUAAGAAUAAGCACCGGCUAACUACGUGCCAGCCGCCGCCGUAAAAC